rnacentral:rRNA from 1 species
CAGUAGCCACGGGAAUACAGAGGGUGCGAGCGUUAAUCGGAUUUACUGGGCGUAAAGCGUGCGUAGGCGGCUUCUUAAGUCGGAUGUGAAAUCCCUGAGCUUAACUUAGGAAUUGCAUUCGAUACUGGGAAGCUAGAGUAUGGGAGAGGAUGGUAGAAUUCCAGGUGUAGCGGUGAAAUGCGUAGAGAUCUGGAGGAAUACCGAUGGCGAAGGCAGCCAUCUGGCCUAAUACUGACGCUGAGGUACGAAAGCAUGGGGAGCAAACAGGAUUAGAUACCCCCGUAGUCCCUGUCUCUUAUAC